UUGGGUCUAAAACAUCCGUAGCUUGCUUGAUAAGUCUCUUGUGAAAUCCGGCCUCUUAAGGGUCGAAGAGCGAGAGAUACUGUCGGGCUAGAGACCGGGAGAGGUAAGAAGUAUGGUCGGGGUACCGGUAAAAUGGGUUGAUCCCGUCUAGACUAACAACAGCGAAGGCAUCUUACCAGCACGGAUCUGACAGUGAGGGAUGAAGGCUAGGGGCGCAAAGUGGAUUAGAUACCCAUGUAGUCCUAGCAGUAAACACUGCACACUAAACAUUGGGGCCUCUUCGAGAGGUUUCAGUGCUGUAGCGAAGGCGUAGAGUGUGCUACCUGGGAAGUAUAAUCGCAAGACCGAAACUUAAAGGAAUUGGCGGGGGAGCACAA
rnacentral:rRNA from 1 species